UCCCUGUUGGCCCAGUGGCUAAGACUCUGCACUCCCAAUGCAGAGGGCCUGGGUUCAAUCCUUGGUCAAGGAA
rnacentral:tRNA from 1 species